CACGUAGGGCGCAAGCGUUGUCCGGAAUUAUUGGGCGUAAAGAGCUCGUAGGCGGCUUGUCACGUCGGGUGUGAAAGCCCGGGGCUUAACCCCGGGUCUGCAUUCGAUACGGGCAGGCUAGAGUGUGGUAGGGGAGAUCGGAAUUCCUGGUGUAGCGGUGAAAUGCGCAGAUAUCAGGAGGAACACCGAUGGCGAAGGCAGGUCUCUGGGCCACUACUGACGCUGAGAAGCGAAAGCAUGGGGAGCGAACAGG
rnacentral:rRNA from 1 species